AUUGAACGCUGGCGGCAGGCCUAACACAUGCAAGUCGAACGAGCGGCGGACGGGUUAGUAAUGUCUGGGGAUCUGCCCGAUAGAGGGGGAUAACUCCUGGAAACGGUGGCUAAUACCGCAUACUAUCUGGUGGACCCAUAUGGGAUUAGCUAGUGGGUGGGGUAAAGGCUCACCAAGGCGACGAUCUCUAGCUGGUCUGAGAGGAUGAUCAGCCACACUGGGACUGAGACACGGUCCAGACUCCUACGGGAGGCAGCAGUGGGGAAUAUUGGACAAUGGGCGCAAGCCUGAUGCAGCCAUGCCGCGUGUAUGAAGAAGGCCUUAGGGUUGUAAAGUACUUUCAGCGGGGAGGCGUUACCCGCAGAAGAAGCACCGGCUAACUCCGUGCCAGCAGCCGCGGUAAUUC
rnacentral:rRNA from 1 species